rnacentral:rRNA from 1 species
AUUGAACGCUGGCGGCAGGCCUAACACAUGCAAGUCGAGCGAGCGGCGGACGGGUGAGUAAUGUAUGGGGACUGCCCGCUAGAGGGGGGUAACUACUGGAAACGGUGGCUCAUACCGCAUACUGUAGGAUAACCCAUAUGGGAUUAGCGAGUAGGUAAGGUAAUGGCUUACCUAGGCGACGAUCCCUAGCUGGUCUGAGAGGAGGAUCAGCCACACUGGGACUGAGACACGGCCCAGACUCCUACGGAGGCAGCAGUGGGGAAUAUGGCACAAUGGGCGCAAGCCUGAUGCAGCCAUGCAGCGUGUAUGAAGAAGGCCCUAGGGUUGGAAAGUACUUUCAGUCGGGAGGCGUUACCGACAGAAGAAGCACCGGCUAACUCCGUGCCAGCAGCCGCGGUAAUAC